AUAAGAACUUGUUAUCCUCUAGUAGGCCGGGGGAAGGCAUCCUUCCGCGAAUAAUGGGUCAGCCUUCACUCUUCUACUCCUGAUACUCCUUUUUGCUUCGCAUCUAAUGAAUGUUCACUCGAUGGCUCCGUCAAAAUCCAAUAUUUCCCGGUCCGCGGUAAACGUUCGCCGUCGGACGUGAUGCGAUUCUUGCAGAGGGUUCGAUGCUGGGAGUAUCGUCAGCUCCCCUCCAUCGUCCACGUCACGCGCCCCACCCGCCCCAACAAAGCUCGGCGCCUUGGCUACAAGGCCAGCCGGGCUUCUUCUUCUUUUGGAUUCCAUAGCUUUUUUUCUUCUUAUUUUUAUUCAUGUUGGAUCAUAUCUGGCUCUUUUUCCCUUAAUAUUGAUUGUUAUUUAAGUCUUUUAUCACUACGAAUUUAUUCUAGUUCUGAUUUGGUUAGGACCAUUGUGAGUUCCUGUUUGAGUAGCUGUGCCAUAGGAUGAACCUGGUAACUAUUAUAACUGCGUCAAGAAGAAAGGUGAUAAUGUUCUCAGGUGAUCCUGAUUCCUAAGGUCUAUUAUCUUCAGGACUAUUACAUGCUACCAAACCACCUCAACAUUUGUCUUGCAUAAUAACGGAAUAGGUGAUAAUGUUUUUAUAUCAACCAGCUGAUGAUGUUCUAAGGUGAUUCUGAUUCCUAAGGUAUAUUAUAUUCAGGUUUAUUACUGGCCAUUGAAAUUUGAACCACUUCAACAUUUGCUUUGCAUAACAAGGGAAUAGGUGAUAAUGUUUUAAUAUCAGCUAACUGAUCUUGCAAACACAAUACAUCAAUUUGAUUAGUGAAUCUAUAGAAACUAGAUUGUUUAGGUUGGUUUUUUACCCUGUUUAUUAUGUGACAUUUGGAGCAAUUUUUUGUUUAUUUUGAUAGGCUAUUAUGCAGAAGAAAAACGUGAUUCUUUUAUCAGCAGAUAUGGUAUGAAGUGCUGCAUGUUAUUCUAAAUUUUGAUCAAAUUGUUAAUCAGAGAUAUGUGCAAUGAUUCAGGCUUCAUCUUUAUGGAGUUAAUCCUCCUGUUGCACACAUGUGAACUGAUAGGUAAACUGCAACUAAGGACGUAAUUGGUUCAACUUUUAAUUACCUUCAUGAAGGUUGAUCAUGGAGCUUAUAAAGUUAGAUCACAGAAUGGUCUUAUAUGAUUUAAGUUUAUGACAAUCUAAGCUGUCUUGAAGAUUUACUUAACUGAUGGUUCUUUUUGCACCAAAAAAUGCAUCACUUUGUGUUUGCUGCUUCAUCAGACAAAGUUGAACCAACAUUCACCCCUUCCUGCCCCCUCUUUGCACUCUUUUUAUCAUAAAAAACUUUUGGCAAGUUUGUUAAGGAGCCAACAUUAAAAUUUGUUGUUUCCUCAGAUUCAUGUCUGUAAGAUGAAUUUGUUCCUUCCUCUCUUUCUUGCCUUUCUUUAUUACAUCCGUUCCUACAGGAUUCAGCCUUAAAUAUAUCUGAGGUUUCAAGCUACUUUCUUUUUUUGAAUCAUGCAUUUAUCCUUUAAUACAGGGAUAUGUAAUCUAUCAUGUUCGUGUGAGAUGAGGAGGCCGAAAGAGGCUUGUUCCCAAAGGUAUUGUUUAUGGGAAGCCUAAGUUCCAAAGAAACAAGAGGUCUGUAGCUGAGGAGAGAGGAGGAUGGAAGUUGGGAGGUCUGAGGGUUCUGCACUCAUACUGGGUCAACGAGGAUUCAACCUACAAAUAUUUUCGAAGACAUCCAAGUUGAUGCUGCUCAUAAUGCAAUUUGCAAUGACCCCAGGAUCAAUUGGAUCUGCAAGAGUGUUCACAAGCACCGCGAGCUUCAUGGUCUUACUUCGGCCGGCAAGAAGUACAGAGGUCUCUGAGGGAAAGGUCAUGUGCAUCACAAGGCCAGGCCAUCUGGCAGAGCAACUUGGAAGAGGAACCAGACUCUAAGAUUGUAGUUUUUUGCUGAAAUGUUCAGACUCCAGGUUUUCUGACGGAUUUGAAGGUGGUUUGUAUCAGUAUCAUUUUUGUAGAUUGACCCCUCUUCAUUCUGAGAUUGUAGAAUUUGUGAUGAUGAUUUGGUGCUUUACAAGAUGUUGCUUGUUCUUGGGAAGAAAACAACCAUAGUCUGGGUCUGGAAAUUUCACAAUAUCCAAAUGUCUUUUUA